rnacentral:rRNA from 1 species
CGUAGGUGGCGAACGUUAUCCGGAAUAACUGGGGCGUAAAAGGGUCCGUAGGCGGCCUUGAAGGUCUGGCGUGAAAGCCCUCGGCUAAACUGAGGGAGUGCGUUGGAAACCGCGAGGCUAGCAUCACGCAGGGGCUGGUGGAAUUCCCGGCGUAGUGGUGGAAUGCGUAGAGAUCGGGAGGAACCUCUAGAGCGAAGGCAACCGGCUAGGCGAUGAUGGACGCUGAGGGACGAAAGCGUGGGGAGCGAACAGGAUU